rnacentral:lncRNA from 1 species
AGCUUUUACCCCGUCCUUCCAACGGCGCUCGCUAAGUAUUGUUUUCAGCACAGCCCAAGGCGCAGGGUGCUGGGGCACAGGAAACAGGCUCUUGGAGAUGCGACUGCUUUUGAGAUGAAGAUGCCUGAGUGGUUUUGAUUCCAGCGUUACCGUGCCGUUCUUCUGCUGUUGAAUGACUUCGCUCACGCCUCCGCGCCCAGGGAGCCUUGCACUUACAUGGGCGGGCGUAAACCCUUCCUUGGCAAACAUAUUACACAGCGCUGUUUCUGCAGACACCUGCCACCAGCUGCAGCAUUUCCUGCUAUAGGGUCUAAUUCACACUGUUCCCGGCUCCUUUUGUCACUGCCACUUUUUCCGCUCACCAUAGACCUGUGGCGAAAUACCGAGAGCGGUGCUUGACAGGGUCGAGGCACUGGAUGAUCGUUGGAGGAGAGGAGAUGUUUGUCACCGCUAAGGAGCGGGACAGGACUGGGACUGUGCUAAUGCCACGCUGAAAGAUGAAUUCAUCGUGUUUUCUUUCUUUUUUUUUUUUAAUUCAACCUUUUUUAUGGUCAAAGCUGUAGCGCUCUCAAACACCGAGCUCCAUGAAUGUGAAAAAAUUGCAGACUGCGGUCAGUGGGCCAGCCGCUUUGCACACCACAAAACAUAUUUCCAGCAGAGACGUGGACACCCGUGCGGCGAUUUUACUCCUGCAGGAUCCUUCAGAGAAACCCACAGAGUCAUCAUGGUCUGCGGACUGCACACAGGCAACUCGACUAUAAUUUAUUCAUUAUGCACCGGCUCCAAAGAUGAUUGUGAUCAUUCCUCUUCCUCCUUGUGGAAUGUUUUGACAUUUCCCUGUGUCUGGUGGAGUUCAGUCCUUUCUUUAAAUAAACACGCAGCUUUCUCAUGGGAAGAGAUCCAGGAGCUCCUACCUGCGUCUUGGGCUAUGGAAACCCUGCAGAUGAGAUCUCUGGAUUUGCAAAUGGAAGAGGAGAUCCUGGGGGAAGGGCCAGCACCUGAACUGCCGACAUUGCCCAGAGGUAGGGCAGGAGCUCAGCCAGGAGAAGGGUCCCCCAAGGAGUACUGCUGGGACACUUCACAGCUUGCAAUCCAGAGGGCAGAUCUACGCACAGAGCUUUUGUUACACUUCAAACACGAGUCAGAUCUACCUCAGCAGAGCCAUGCAUAUUUACCCCUGCUGAAGGGCUGCCCAUUAUAUUAAAUCCGUAGAAGAAAUGAAGAUCUGAGUGGCAUUUCAGCAGGUAAGAC